GCUGAGGAAGGGAAGAUUGCUUGAGUCCAGGAGUUCAAGACCAGCUUGGACAGCACAGUGAAACCUUGUCUCAUUAAAAAAAAAAAAAAAAAAAAAAAAAAAAAAAAAAAAAAAAAAAAAAAAAAAACAGAGAGACAGCGAGAAAGAGAAAGAAUUACUGAAUUACAAAGGAAUAUUACUUCUUGGAGGAUGAGAAUAAAGUUUCUGAGUAGCUGGGAUUACAGUUGCCUGCCUCCAUGCCCAGAUAACUUUUGCAUUUUUAGUAGAGACGGG
rnacentral:lncRNA from 1 species